UGGGAAAUAAGCUUUCUUAAGAGGCAGCCUU
rnacentral:piRNA from 1 species